UACGUAGGGGGCAAGCGUUGUCCGGAAUUAUUGGGCGUAAAGAGCUCGUAGGCGGUUUGUCGCGUCUGCUGUGAAAACUGGAGGCUCAACCUCCAGCCUGCAGUGGGUACGGGCAGACUAGAGUGCGGUAGGGGAGAUUGGAAUUCCUGGUGUAGCGGUGGAAUGCGCAGAUAUCAGGAGGAACACCAAUGGCGAAGGCAGAUCUCUGGGCCGUAACUGACGCUGAGGAGCGAAAGCAUGGGGAGCGAACAGG
rnacentral:rRNA from 1 species